rnacentral:misc_RNA from 1 species
CCGAGUUUACAACUCCCAAACCCUUAUGUGAACAUACCAAUCGUUGCUUCGGCGGACUCGCCCCGGUGUCCGGCAGGCCCUUGUGGCAGGCCGCGACCCGGAUCCAGGCGGACGCCGGAGACCAUCCAAAACUCUUUGUAUUCUAGCAAGUCUUCUGAAUGAGCCGCAAGGCAACACAAAUGAAUCAAAACUUUCAACAACGGAUCUCUUGGUUCUGGCAUCGAUGAAGAACGCAGCGAAAUGCGAUAAGUAAUGUGAAUUGCAGAAUUCAGUGAAUCAUCGAAUCUUUGAACGCACAUUGCGCCCGCCAGCAUUCUGGCGGGCAUGCCUGUUCGAGCGUCAUUUCAACCCUCGAGCUCCCUUUGGGGAGCCCGGCGUUGGGGAUCGGCAUCUACCGCCGGCCCCGAAAUGAAGUGGCGGCCCGUCCGCGGCGACCUCUGCGUAGUAACUCACCUCGCACCGGAACCCCGACGUGGCCACGCCGUAAAACACCCAACUUUCUGAAC